rfam:Odoribacter splanchnicus DSM 20712, complete genome.
GCAAUGGUAGGCUUGCUGCGGUGCGAUCAUGUGUACGUGACCGUCGAUAGCUGCAGCUGUCAGAAUCAGAUGUUCUCCCGAAAUGGCAUCGGUAGCAGCUCCUGUUACCAAUUCAGGGGUAACUCCCCGCAUGAUAUUCGGAUUGCCGGCUUUACCGAUUCCGGCAAUUUUACCGUCUUUUACUCCGACAUCCGCUUUGAUCACCCCCAAUAUCGGGUCGAUAAUCGUUACAUUAGUAAUGACUAAAUCCAACGUACCCCCUUCUGAAGUCGUAGUAUUUGCCAAGCCCAUACCAUCC